rnacentral:rRNA from 1 species
GAUGAACGCUGGCGGCGUGCCUAAUACAUGCAAGUCGAGCGAAUGGAUUAAGAGCUUGCUCUUAUGAAGUUAGCGGCGGACGGGUGAGUAACACGUGAGUAACCUGCCCAUAAGACUGGGAUAACUCCGGGAAACCGGGGCUAACACCGGAUAACAUUUUGAACCGCAUGGUUCGAAAUUGAAAGGCGGCUUCGGCUGUCACUUAUGGAUGGACCCGCGUCGCAUUAGCUAGUUGGUGAGGUAACGGCUCACCAAGGCAACGAUGCGUAGCCGACCUGAGAGGGUGAUCGGCCACACUGGGACUGAGACACGGCCCAGACUCCUACGGGAGGCAGCAGUAGGGAAUCUUCCGCAAUGGACGAAAGUCUGACGGAGCAACGCCGCGUGAGUGAUGAAGGCUUUCGGGUCGUAAAACUCUGUUGUUAGGGAAGAACAAGUGCUAGUUGGAUAAGCUGGCACCUUGACGGUACCUAACCAGAAAGCCACGGCUAACUACGUGCCAGCCGCCGCAGUAA